rnacentral:rRNA from 1 species
AACUAACGCUGGCGGCGCGUCUUAAACAUGCAAGUCGAACGGAUGUAGCAAUACAUUAGUGGCGAACGGGUGAGUAACACGUAGGUAAUCUACCUCUGAGUCUGGAACAACCUGAUGAAAAUCAGGCUAAUACUGGAUAGUAUUAAUUUGGCGAAUGUCGGAUUAAUUAAAGCAUUUAUGCGCUGAGAGAUGAGCCUGCGGCUGAUUAGCUAGUUGGUAGGGUAAUGGCUUACCAAGGCGACGAUCAGUAGUUGGUCUGAGAGGACGGCCAGCCACACUGGGACUCGAGACACGGCCCAGACUCCUACGGGAGGCAGCAGUGGGGAAUUUUGGGACAAUGGCGCAAGCCUGAUCCAGCAAUGCCGCGUGAGUGAAGAAGGCC